AACGAACGCUGGCGGCAUGCCUAACACAUGCAAGUCGAACGAGACCUUCGGGUCUAGUGGCGCACGGGUGCGUAACGCGUGGGAACCUGCCCUUAGGUUCGGAAUAACUCCCCGAAAGGGGUGCUAAUACCGGAUAAUGUCUUCGGACCAAAGAUUUAUCGCCUUUGGAUGGGCCCGCGUUGGAUUAGCUAGUUGGUAGGGUAAAAGCCUACCAAGGCGACGAUCCAUAGCUGGUCUGAGAGGAUGAUCAGCCACACUGGACUGAGACACGGCCCAGACUCCUACGGGAGGCGGCAGUGGGGAAUAUUGGACAAUGGGCGAAAGCCUGAUCCAGCAAUGCCGCGUGAGUGAUGAAGGCCUUAGGGUUGUAAAGCUCUUUUACCCGGGAUGAUAAUGACAGUACCGGGAGAAUAAGCUCCGGCUAACUCCGUG
rnacentral:rRNA from 1 species